GACGAGCGGCGGACGGGUGAGUAACGCGUAAGAAUCUACCCCAAACUGAGGGAUAACUGCUCGAAAGAGUAGCUAAUACCGCAUGGUCCAGUUUACUGGUAAAGCCCUUCGGGGCGGUUUGGGAAGAGCUUGCGUCCGAUUAGCUAGUUGGUGAGGGUAAUGGCCCACCAAGGCGACAAUCGGUAGCUGGUUUGAGAGGAUGAUCAGCCACACUGGAACUGAGAUACGGUCCAGACUCCUACGGGAGGCAGCAGUAGGGAAUUUUCCACAAUGGGGGCAACCCUGAUGGAGCGACGCCGCGUGCAGGAUGAAGGCCUUUGGGUCGUAAACUGCUUUUUUCUGUGACGAAUAUGACGGUAGCAGAAGAAUAAGGGUCGGCUAACUACGUGCCAGCAGCCGCGGUCAUACGUAGGACCCAAGCGUUAUCCGGAAUUACUGGGCGUAAAGAGUUGCGUAGGCGGUCUUGUAAGCGAAGUGUGAAAUCGUGUGGCUCAACCAUGCGGCUAUGCUUUGAACUGCAAGACUAGAGUAUGGAAGAGGUAACUGGAAUUCCAAGUGUAGGAGUGAAAUCCGUAGAUAUUUGGAGGAACACCGAUGGCGUAGGCAGGUUACUGGUCCAUUACUGACGCUCAGGCACGAAAGCGUGGGGAGCAAACGGGAUUAGAUACCCCGGUAGUCCACGCCGUAAACUAUGGAUGCUAGCUGUUACGAGUAUCGACCCUCGUAGUAGCGAAGCUAACGCGUUAAGCAUCCCGCCUGGGGAGUACGGUCGCAAGAUUAAAACUCAAAGGAAUUGACGGGGACCCGCACAAGCGGUGGAGCGUGUUGUUUAAUUCGAAGCUAAGCGAAGAACCUUACCAAGGUUUGACAUCCUGCGAAGUUCUGCGAAAGCAGAGUGUGCCUUUUUGGAACGCAGAGACAGGUGUUGCAUGGCCGUCGUCAGCUCGUGUCGUGAGAUGUUUGGUUAAGUCCAUCAACGAGCGCAACCCUUAUGUUUAGUUGUAUUUCUCUAAACAGACUGCCCUGGCAACAGGGAGGAAGGGGGGGAUGAUGUCAGGUCAGUAUUACCCUUACACCUUGGGCUACAAACACGCUACAAUGGCCGGUACAAAGGGCUGCCAAGUCGCGGGACGGAGCAAAUCCCAUCAAAACCGGUCCCAGUUCGGAUAGCAGGCUGAAACUCGCCUGCUUGAAGCCGGAAUCGCUAGUAAUGGUAGGUCAGCACACUACCGUGAAUACGUUCCCGGGUCUUGUACACACCGCCCGUCAAGCCAUGAAAGUCACCAAUACCCAAAGUUCCAUUUUUGGACCUAAGGUAGGGGGGAUGAUUGGGGUUAAGUCGUAACAAGGUAACC
rnacentral:rRNA from 1 species